rnacentral:rRNA from 1 species
GCAAGUCGAACGGCAGCACGGGGAGCUUGCUCCCUGGUGGCGAGUGGCGGACGGGUGAGUAACGCGUAGGAAUCUGCCCUGCAGUGGGGGACAACCCGGGGAAACCCGGGCUAAUACCGCAUACGAUUUUCGGAUGAAAGUGGGUCCUUCGGGGCACACGCUGUGGGAUGAGCCUGCGUCCGAUUAGCUAGUUGGUGAGGUAAAGGCUCACCAAGGCGACGAUCGGUAGCUGGUCUGAGAGGAUGAUC